UAAAACUAACAACAGCAAGGAAAUCGCGACUGCAACAACAACUGAAAAACGUAAACAAGAUACAAAUGCGGAUAACAAACAACAAACUCCCCGCUUCAAUCAACAAUUGACUGGAUUACAACAACAACAAAAUAAAUAUAUUGAAAAUUCUCCUCGCUGCUUGGAUCCCCGACCAAAAUAUGUCAAUAAGAAGAGCAACACCAACAGCAAAAGCAACAAACACAAAUUAAAUACAAAAUACGGUUAACAAAAGGGAGGAAGACGAAGUAGCUGUAGCACUACCACUUCCAACAAACAAGUAACAGCAGCAAGAAGUGUCUGCAUUCAAAAAAACAAAAAAGAAAAAAUAAAUGAAAACAAAAAAAUGCCAAAUGAACUGAUUAAUUGCAAGUGAAACGAAAACGUAAGAAGCGAUUGAAAUUAAAGGCAACCAAUUAACAAUAUCUGCUGGACAUCUGGAGAAAGCCGCCGCGCCACGACACCGGCAAGUGGUGUUGACAACAAUUUACUGAGCAUGCAACGGACACAAAAGCCACCAACAGAAGCCGUCGACGAAGUAGCAGCAACACUCGUUGUUGGUAGCAGCAACACCAGCAGCACCAGCAACACCAGCAGCAGCAGCAACAGUAGC
rnacentral:sRNA from 1 species